GCGCUUAACACAUGCAAGUCGCACGAGAAAGGGGGCAACCCUGAGUAAAGUGGCGCACGGGUGAGUAACACGUGGAUCAUCUACCUUUUGGUGGGGAAUACCCCUGGGAAACUGGGGACAAUUCCGCAUAAUCUCGCGAGAGGAAAGCAGCAAUGCGCCGAUAGAGGAGUCCGCGGCUGAUUAGCUUGUUGGUGAGGUAAUGGCUCACCAAGGCAAAGAUCGGUAGCCGGCCUGAGAGGGCACACGGCCACACUGGCACUGAAACACGGGCCAG
rnacentral:rRNA from 1 species